GGAUUAGAUACCCUGGUAGUCCACGCCCUAAACGAUGAGUGCUAGGCUUUAGAAAAUUUUCUAGAGUCGAAGUGAAAACGUUAAGCACUCCGCCUGGGGAGUACGGUCGCAAGAUUAAAACUCAAACGGAAUUGACGGGGGCCCGCACAAGCGGUGGAGCAUGUGGUUUAAUUCGAUGAUACGCGCAAAACCUUACCAGCUUUUGACAUUAAGAUUUUAGAGUAAAGAGAUUUACUUUUUCGGUUCGGCCGGGUCUUAACAGGCGUUGCAUGGCUGUCGUCAGCUCGUGCCG
rnacentral:rRNA from 1 species